rnacentral:rRNA from 1 species
AUCAAGUGUCUAAGGGCAUCUGGUGGAUGCCUUGGCGAUCAGAGGCGAUGAAGGACGUGGCAGGCUGCGAAAAGCUCCGGGAAGGUGUCAACAACCGUUGAUCCGGAGAUGUCCGAAUGGGGAAACCCAGCUCUUAGGAGUUAUCGUUCACUGAAUACAUAGGUGAACGAGGCAAACCUUGCGAAGUGAAACAUCUCAGUAGCAAGAGGAAAGGAAAUCAACCGAUACUCCCCUAGUAGCGGCGAGCGAAAGGGGACCAGCCCAGUGGCUGAAGUUUAAGAACCGGAAGUAUCUGGAAAGAUACACCAAAGUGGGUGAUAGUCCCGUACGGGUAGAAAGAACUUCAGUCCUCGAGUAAGGCGGAACACGUGUAAUUCUGUCUGAAUAUGGGGGGACCAUCCUCCAAGGCUAAGUACUCCUGAUCGACCGAUAGCGAACCAGUACCGUGAGGGAAAGGUGAAAAGAACCCCGAUAAGGGGAGUGAAACAGACCUGAAACCGGAUGCCUACAAUCAGAUGGAGGGGGCUUGUACCCUGACAUCGUACCUUUUGUAUAAUGGGUCAGCGAGUUAGUCUUGCAUGCAAGCUUAAGCCGUUAGGUGGAGGCGCAGCGAAAGCGAGUCUGAAUAGGGCGAUAUAGUAUGCAGGAUUAGACCCGAAACCCGGUGAUCUAGUUAUGGGCAGGUUGAAGAUACGGUAACACGUAUUGGAGGACCGAACCCACCUAUGUUGAAAAAUGGGGGGAUGACCUGUGACUAGGGGUGAAAGGCCAAUCAAACCGGGUGAUAGCUGGUUCUCCGCGAAAUCUAUUUAGGUAGAGCGUUGUGUGAAUACCUUCGGGGGUAGAGCACUGGAAGGGCUAGGGGGGCGCGAGCCUUACCAAACCUUACCAAACUCCGAAUACCGAAGAGUAAUGCACAGCAGACAGACUAUGGGUGAUAAGGCCCGUGGUCGAAAGGGAAACAGCCCAGACCUACAGCUAAGGUCCCCAAAUCAUAGUUAAGUGGAAAAGGAAGUAGAAGGUCCAUGACAAUCAGGAGGUUGGCUUAGAAGCAGCCACCCUUUAAAGAAAGCGUAAUAGCUCACUGAUCUAAAUAAGACCUUCCGCGCCGAAGAUGUAUCGGGGCUCAAACUAUGUACCGAAGCUUAGGAUUCAGCUUCUUCGGAAGCUGUCUGGUAGCGGAGCGUUCCGUAAGCCUGUGAAGGUCCCCCGCGAGGGUGGCUGGAGGUAUCGGAAGUGAGAAUGCUGACAUGAGUAGCGACAAAGAGUGUGAGAAACACUCUCGCCGAAAUCCCAAGGGUUCCUGUCCAAGGCUAAUCCGGGCAGGGUGAGUCGGCUCCUAAGGCGAGGCAGAAAUGCGUAGUCGAUGGGAACACGGUUAAUAUUCCGUGACCUGAACGUAGUGACGGUGGGCGUGAACCGUAUCUCCUUAUUGGAUUGGAGAUGCGGUGAAGCACAUCCAGGAAAUAGCUCGUUCAUUAAGACCGUACCCGAAACCGACACAGGUGGGAUGGUAGAGCAUACCAAGGCGCUUGAGAGAACUAUCUUGAAGGAACUCGGCAAAAUGCACCCGUAACUUCGGAAGAAGGGUGACCUCUGUUUGGGCAACCAGACGGAGGUGGCACAGACCAGGGGGUGGCGACUGUUUAUCAAAAACACAGGGCUCUGCGAAAUCGCAAGAUGACGUAUAGGGUCUGACGCCUGCCCGGUGCCGGAAGGUUAAGUGGAGGUGUGCAAGCACUGAAAUGAAGCCCCGGUAAACGGCGGCCGUAACUAUAACGGUCCUAAGGUAGCGAAAUUCCUUGUCGGGUAAGUUCCGACCUGCACGAAUGGCGUAACGACUUCCCCACUGUCUCCAAGGUAGACUCAGCGAAAUUGAAUUCCCCGUGAAGAUGCGGGGACCCCGCGGUUAGACGGAAAGACCCUAUGAACCUUUACUACAGCUUUACAGUGGCAUUAGAUUAUUUAUGUGCAGAAUAGGUGGGAGCCUUUGAGUCAGGGACGCCAGUCCUUGAGGAGGCACCUGUGAGAUACCACCCUUGAAUUGUUUGAUGUCUAACCGUGGCCCGUUAUCCGGGUCCGGGACCCUGUAUGGUGGGUAGUUUGACUGGGGCGGUCGCCUCCCAAAUAGUAACGGAGGCGCGCGAUGGUGAGCUCAGGACGGUCGGAAAUCGUCUGUGGAGUGCAAUAGCAUAAGCUCGCCUGACUGUGAGACUGACAAGUCGAGCAGGGACGAAAGUCGGUUAUAGUGAUCCGGUGGUUCCGUAUGGAAGGGCCAUCGCUCAACGGAUAAAAGGUACUCUAGGGAUAACAGGCUGAUAGCGCCCAAGCGUCCACAGCGACGGCGCUGUUUGGCACCUCGAUGUCGGCUCAUCUCAUCCUGGGGCUGGAGCAGGUCCCAAGGGUAUGGCUGUUCGCCAUUUAAAGAGGUACGCGAGCUGGGUUCAGAACGUCGUGAGACAGUUCGGUCCCUAUCUGCCGUGGGAGUUGGAGUCUUGAGAAGAGCUGUCCCUAGUACGAGAGGACCGGGAUGGACGCACCUCUGGUGUACCAGUUGUUCCGCCAGGAGCACCGCUGGGUAGCUAUGUGCGGACAGGAUAACCGCUGAAAGCAUCUAAGCGGGAAGCCUCCUUCAAUACCAGGACUCCCUAUCAGAGCCGUGGAAGACCACCACGUUGAUAGGCCGGAUGUGGAAGUACAGCAAUGUAUGAAGCUAACCGGUACUAAUUGCUCGAUCGACUUGAUUUUGAA